UCGACCGCCUGGGGAGUACGGCCGCAAGGUUAAAACUCAAAUGAAUUGACGGGGGCCCGCACAAGCGGUGGAGCAUGUGGUUUAAUUCGAUGCAACGCGAAGAACCUUACCUACUCUUGACAUCCAGAGAACUUUGCAGAGAUGGAUUGGUGCCUUCGGGAACUGUGAGACAGGUGCUGCAUGGCUGUCGUCAGCUCGUGUUGUGAAAUGUUGGGUUAAGUCCCGCAACGAGCGCAACCCUUAUCCUUUGUUGCCAGCGGUUCGGCCGGGAACUCAAAGGAGACUGCCAGUGAUAAACUGGAGGAAGGUGGGGAUGACGUCAAGUCAUCAUGGCCCUUACGAGCAGGGCUACACACGUGCUACAAUGGCGCAUACAAAGAGAAGCGACCUCGCGAGAGCAAGCGGACCUCAUAAAGUGCGUCGUAGUCCGGAUUGGAGUCUGCAACUCGACUCCAUGAAGUCGGAAUCGCUAGUAAUCGUGGAUCAGAAUGCCACGGUGAAUACGUUCCCGGGCCUUGUACACACCGCCCGUCACACCUAUGGGAGUGGGUUGCAAAAGAAGUAGGUAGCU
rnacentral:rRNA from 1 species